GACGAACCGUACGAACGUUAUUCGGAAUUACUGGGCUUAAAGGGUUUGUAGGCGGCCUUGUAAGUCAGGUGUGAAAUCCCUCGGCUCAACCGAGGAAUAGCGCUUGAUACUGCGAGGCUUGAGGGAGACAGGGGUAAGCGGAACUGAUGGUGGAGCGGUGAAAUGCGUUGAUAUCAUCAGGAACACCGGUGGCGAAAGCGGCUUACUGGGUCUCUUCUGACGCUGAGGAACGAAAGCUAGGGGAGCGAAC
rnacentral:rRNA from 1 species